GCUUACACAUGCAAGUCGAGCGGUAACAUCUCUAGCUUGCUAGAAGAUGACGAGCGGCGGACGGGUGAGUAACGCGUAGGAAUCUGCCUAGUAGUGGGGGACAACAUGUGGAAACGCAUGCUAAUACCGCAUACGCCCUACGGGGGAAAGGAGGGGAUCUUCGGACCUUUCGCUAUUAGAUGAGCCUGCGUGAGAUUAGCUAGUUGGUGGGGUAAAGGCCUACCAAGGCGACGAUCUCUAGCUGGUCUGAGAGGAUGAUCAGCCACACUGGGACUGAGACACGGCCCAGACUCCUACGGGAGGCAGCAGUGGGGAAUAUUGGACAAUGGGCGCAAGCCUGAUCCAGCCAUGCCGCGUGUGUGAAGAAGGCCUUAGGGUUGUAAAGCACUUUCAGGAGUGAGGAAGGGUGUACGGUUAAUACCCGUAUAUUUUGACGUUAACUCCAGAAGAAGCACCGGCUAACUCUGUGCCAGCAGCCGCGGUAAUACAGAGGGUGCGAGCGUUAAUCGGAAUUACUGCGCGUAAAGCGCGCGUAGGCGGUU
rnacentral:rRNA from 1 species